rnacentral:sRNA from 1 species
ACUCAACACUAUUCAAUUAAAAAGAAUGAGUCUUGGUUAGUAAAGCAAGCCGUUAAUUCGGAUCCUUGAGCAACCGGUUAGUUCUAAACCUGUUUAUCAGGAGUUU